AGGUAGUGACGAGAAAUGACAGUGCCGUAAUCAGAUGAUUCGGCUACUGAAUUGAGAACGAUGAAAGAAUGUUAUCGAAUAUCUAUUGGAGGGCAAGUCUGGUGCCAGCAGCCGCGGUAAUUCCAGCUCGAAGAGCGUCUGUUAAUGUUGCUGCGCUUGAAACGCUCGUCGUUGAAUCUCUGGCAAUUGCCUACGGACACUUCUAUUGUGGUACCGUAGGAAAGUGCCUUUUUGUAUCUAUUCGUCGUUGAUUCACUUAAUUGUGUGUCACGUUCGAGAGCCACUUUCACUUUGGAGAAAUCAGUGUGCUCAUAACAGGCUUAUGCCUGCAUAUAACUGCAUGGGAUGAUGAAACUGGGCCUUUGACUCGUUUCGUUGGUUUACGAUUGCAAAGGCCAUGAUUAAUCGGGACAGACGGGGGCAUUCGUAUUGCGUCGAUAGAAGUGAAAUUCGGUGACCGACGUAAGACGAACAAUCGCGAAAGCAUUUGCCAAGAAUGUUUUCAUUAAUCAAGAACGAAAGUUAGAGUAUCGAAGACGAUUAGAUACCGUCCUAGUUCUAACUGUAAACGAUGCCAACCAGGGUUUCGUCAUAGCUUAUAUGCUUGACGAGCACCCUCCGGGAAACCUGAGUAAUCGGGUUCCGGGGGGAGUAUGGUUGCAGAAUCGAAACUUAAAGGAAUUGACGGAAGGGCACACCAGGAGUGGAGCCUGCGGCUUAAUUUGACUCAACGCACGAUAGCCGACUCGGUCCGAACACUUGAAGGA
rnacentral:rRNA from 1 species